GACGAACGCUGGCGGCGUGCUUAACACAUGCAAGUCGAACGGAAAGGCCCUGCUUUUGUGGGGUGCUCGAGUGGCGAACGGGUGAGUAACACGUGAGUAACCUGCCCUUGACUUUGGGAUAACUUCAGGAAACUGGGGCUAAUACCGGAUAGGAGCUCCUGCUGCAUGGUGGGGGUUGGAAAGUUUCGGCGGUUGGGGAUGGACUCGCGGCUUAUCAGCUUGUUGGUGGGGUAGUGGCUUACCAAGGCUUUGACGGGUAGCCGGCCUGAGAGGGUGACCGGCCACAUUGGGACUGAGAUACGGCCCAGACUCCUACGGGAGGCAGGAGUGGGGAAUAUUGCACAAUGGGCGGAAGCCUGAUGCAGCAACGCCGGGGGCGGGAUGAGGGCCUUCGGGUUGUAAACCGCUUUCGCCUGUGACGAAGCGUGAGUGACGGUAAUGGGUAAAGAAGCACCGGCUAACUACG
rnacentral:rRNA from 1 species